rnacentral:rRNA from 1 species
UAACAAGGAUUCCCCUAGUAACUGCGAGUGAAGCGGGAAAAGCUCAAAUUUUGAAUCUGGCGGUCAUUUCGAUACAUGCCGUCCGAAUUGUAAUCUAGAGAAGCGUAUUCCGCGUUGGACCGUGUACAAGUUCUCCUGGAAGGGAGCAUCAUAGAGGGUGAGAAUCCCGUCUUUGACACGGACUACCAAGUGCUUAUGUGAUGCGCUCUCAACGAGUCGAGUUGUUUGGGAAUGCAGCUCAAAAUGGGUGGUAAAUUCCAUCUAAAGCUAAAUACAGGCGAGAGACCGAUAGUGAACAAGUACCGUGAGGGAAAGAUCAAAAGAACUUUGAAAAGAGAGUUAAACAGUACGUGAAAUUGCUGAAAGGGAAACGCUUGAUGUCACUCGCGUUGAUUAGGGAUCAACCUAGAUAAACUAGGUUUAAUUCCUAGUUGACGGGUCAGCAUCAGUUUUGAUUAGUGUAGAAAGGCGAAGGGAAAGUAGCAUUCUUUUAGGGGAGUGUGUUAUAGACCCUCGUUCGUAUGCAUUGAUUAGGACUGAGGAGAGCUCUGCACGAACCGUCGAUUAGCUUUUCGUGCAAGAGGUGCUGGCAUUAAUGGCCUUAAGCGACCCGUCUUGAAACACGGACCAAGGAGUCUAACAUGCCUGCGAGUGUUUGGGUUUGCAAACCCGAGCGCGUAAUGAAAGUGAACAUUUUUAGUUGUGAUCUCUGUCAUGGAGAGCAUC